GAUGAACGCUGGCGGCGUGCCUAAUACAUGCAAGUCGAGCGAACGGACGAGAAGCUUGCUUCUCUGAUGUUAGCGGCGGACGGGUGAGUAACACGUGGAUAACCUACCUAUAAGACUGGGAUAACUUCGGGAAACCGGAGCUAAUACCGGAUGAUAUUUUGAACCGCAUGGUUCAAAAGUGAAAGACGGUCUUGCUGUCACUUAUAGAUGGAUCCGCGCUGCAUUAGCUAGUUGGUAAGGUAACGGCUUACCAAGGCAACGAUGCAUAGCCGACCUGAGAGGGUGAGCGGCCACACUGGAACUGAGACACGGUCCAGACUCCUACGGGAGGCAGCAGUAGGGAAUCUUCCGCAAUGGGCGAAAGCCUGACGGAGCAACGCCGCGUGAGUGAUGAAGGUCUUCGGAUCGUAAAACUCUGUUAUUAGGGAAGAACAUAUGUGUAAGUAACUGUGCACAUCUUGACGGUACCUAAUCAGAAAGCCAAGGCUAACUACG
rnacentral:rRNA from 1 species